UCGGGAAUUUUGGGCAAUGGGCGAAAGCCUGACCCAGCAACGCCGCGUGAAGGAUGAAGUAUUUCGGUAUGUAAACUUCGAAAGAAUAGGAAGAAUAAAUGACGGUACUAUCUAUAAGGUCCGGCUAACUACGUGCCAGCAGCCGCGGUAAUACGUAGGGACCAAGCGUUGUUCGGAUUUACUGGGCGUAAAGGGCGCGUAGGCGGCAAUUCAAGUCAUCUGUGAAAUCUCCGGGCUUAACUCGGAACGGUCAGAUGAUACUGCUUUGCUAGAGUGCAGAAGGGGCAAUCGGAAUUCUUGGUGUAGCGGUGAAAUGCGUAGAUAUCAAGAGGAACACCUGAGGUGAAGACGGGUUGCUGGGCUGACACUGACGCUGAGGCGCGAAAGCCAGGGGAGCAAACGGGAUUAGAUACCCAUGUAGUCCCUGAGCGGGCUGGCAAGGCGCAU
rnacentral:rRNA from 1 species